rnacentral:rRNA from 1 species
AUUGAACGCUGGCGGCAGGCCUAACACAUGCAAGUCGAGCGGAUGAAGGGAGCUUGCUCCUGGAUUCAGCGGCGGACGGGUGAGUAAUGCCUAGGAAUCUGCCUGGUAGUGGGGGAUAACGUCCGGAAACGGGCGCUAAUACCGCAUACGUCCUGAGGGAGAAAGUGGGGGAUCUUCGGACCUCACGCUAUCAGAUGAGCCUAGGUCGGAUUAGCUAGUUGGUGGGGUAAAGGCCUACCAAGGCGACGAUCCGUAACUGGUCUGAGAGGAUGAUCAGUCACACUGGAACUGAGACACGGUCCAGACUCCUACGGGAGGCAGCAGUGCGGAAUAUUGGACAAUGGGCGAAAGCCUGGUCCAGCCAUGCCGCGUGUGUGAAGAAGGUCUUCGGAUUGUAAAGCACUUUACGUUGGGAGGAAGGGCAGUAAGUUAAUACCUAGCUGUUUUGACGUUACCAACAGAAUAAGCACCGGCUAACUUCGUG